CCUACGGGAGGCAGCAGUGGGGAAUAUUGGGCAAUGGGCGCAAGCCUGACCCAGCAACGCCGCGUGAAGGAAGAAGGCUUUCGGGUUGUAAACUUCUUUUCUCAGGGACGAAGCAAGUGACGGUACCUGAGGAAUAAGCCACGGCUAACUACGUGCCAGCAGCGGCGGUAAUACGUAGGUGGCAAGCGUUAUCCGGAUUUACUGGGUGUAAAGGGGGGGUAGGCGGGGACGUAAGUCAGAUGUGAAAACCAGGGGCUCAACCUGUGGCCUGCAUUUGAAACUGGGUUUCUUGAGUACUGGAGAGGCAGACGGAAUGCCUGGUGUAGCGGUGAAAUGCGUAGAUAUUAGAAGGAACACCAGUGGCGAAGGCGGUCUGCUGGACAGCAACUGACGCUGAGGCGCGAAAGCGUGGGGAGCAAACAGGAUUAGAUACCCUUGUAGUC
rnacentral:rRNA from 1 species